UCUUUUGGAUGAGUAAAGUGAGUGGUGUCUUGAGAAGGAACCUACUCCUGGUGAAGAUGCUGUGAA
rnacentral:pre_miRNA from 1 species